rnacentral:ncRNA from 1 species
CUACGGACUUAAUUGGAUUGAGCCUUGGUAUGGAAACUUACUAAGUGAUCACUUUCAAAUUCAGAGAAACCCUGGAAUGAACAAAAAUGGGCAAUCCUGAGCCAAAUCCUAUUUUCUGAAAACAAACAAAUAAAGGUUCUGAAAAAAAAGGAUAGGUGCAGAGACUCAAUGGAAGCUAUUCUAACAAAUGGAGUUAAAUGUGUUGGUAGAGGAAUCUUUACAUAAAAACUUCAGAAAGAAAAAUAAUAAAGUGAAGGAUAAACGUAUAUACAUACGUAUUGAAUACUAUAUAAAAUGAUUAAUGAAAACCCAAAUCCCUGAUCAAAUCAUUCACUCCAUAGUCUGAUAGAUCCUUUGAAGAACUGAUUAAUCGGACGAGACUAAAGAUAGAGUCCCGUUCUACAUGUCAAUACCGG